AUCCAGGUGAUGGGUGUCUGAAAAGCAGAUCCUUGAUUUUCCCAGGAGGCCCUGCCUGCGUGGGGCAUUCCAUGGGCGAGAAACUACCUGUCCCUCAUCUGGAACACUGAAGGACAAACUUGCACAAACACAGGUGGUGAGCGCGUCUCAGCAGGCAGGCUGGACUUCUUCCCUCCUGGGAGGCUCCGGUGCAGGCGGUCCCCAGGCUGCAGUCACAGCUCCAGACCCCUUGGUCCUGCUGACGCCCUGUGACAAGUGACAGCUCAGGACUUAGCACCACAUGGCUUCCUGUCACCUCCUCAAAUCAACUCCAGUGGAGAUCCCAUCUCCCCCAGGAGGCUGGAGCACAAAAGGUGGGAAGCC
rnacentral:lncRNA from 1 species